CUUGUGGGGUGGCUUGUGUUUUGGUACUGGUUUCUGUCCCUUUCCUUUAUAUGAAUCCUCGGCUAGCUCUUCCUCAGCCAAAAGAUGUCCAUGUGGCGGCUUAUGCUUUGGUGGUGGCUUAUUACCCUUAUGUGAGUCCUCUACAACCUCUGUAGCUAAAAGACGUCUGAGGGGUGGUUUGUGCUCUGGUGGUGGCUUGUGCGGUGGUUUGUGCUCGGAUGAUGGCUUUUGAGGUGGAAAAUUCUUAGGAGGUGGUUUCUCUCCCUUACCCUUAAAUGGCGGUUUUUGGAAGUCCUCUACGCUAUCCUCGCUUAAUAGGUGCCCAUGUGGUGGCUUGUGUGGUGGUUUGUGCUCUGGUGUUGGCUUUUGAGGUGGAAAAUUCUUAGGUGGUGGCUUUUGAGGUGGAAAAUUCUUAGGAGGUGGGUUCUCUCCCUUACCCUUAAAUGGUGGUUUUUGGAAGUCCUCUUCGCUAUCCUCACUUAAUAGGUGACCAUGUGGUGGCUUGUGUGGGGGGUUGUGCUCUGGGGGUGGCUUUUGAGGUGGGAAAUUCUUAGGUGGUGGCUUUUGAGGUGGAAAAUUCUUAGGAGGUGGGUUCUCUCCCUUACCCUUAAAUGGUGGUUUUUGGAAGUCCUCUUCGCUAUCCUCACUUAAUAGGUGACCAUGUGGUGGCUUGUGUGGUGGGUUGUGGUCUGGUGUUGGCUUUUGAGGUGGAAAAUUCUUAGGAGGUGGUUUCUCUCCCUUACCCUUGUAAGGUGGAUCAUGGACAUCCUCUACAUUAUCCUCACUUAACAGAUGACCAUGUGGUGGCUUGUGCUGUGAGUGGUGGUGAUCAUAAUGAUCAGCUAAUGAAGAAGAAAUGGAGAGAAUCACGACUGCUCCAAUAAGGAGCAACACUCGCAAGUUUUUAGAAGAGAACAUGUUUGA
rnacentral:lncRNA from 1 species